UGUCUGGUCGCGAACAGACAACAGCAGAAGUUCUGGCAGCCCUGCAGCCCCUUUGCACCAGUACAGCUGAAGCAAGGACAAUAUGGGCAAGCUGCAAACCUCUCCCAAAAAACAGCAAGGUGUUUGUGCAGAAGUCUAGAUGUGCGCUGUCUCCAGUGAGGGACCUGGGUGCAUGAGGUUACACAGGGAUUAUCCUAAAGCUGCUGCCUCCUGUCUUGUAAUGUAGUGAUUUCCCACCCCAGCACAGCCAUUUAUUACACUGCUUGCGACCAAGGAGUCGGCAUGUCUUUGGCCAGAUUAUACAUGGAUGAAGCCAGUGAGACCAUAGGAACAGGGAGAUGGAGCCCUGGAAUCUGCCUUGCUCCAGAAAGCUGAGAGGCUAUGACCACCACAUCUAACCCUUGGUGAAAUGAGUGUUAAGUCCGCUGAAGAGUAACAGAAAUGGAAAUAAACAGAGGGGAAAAAAAAAAAAGAAAAAGAAGAAGAUAUGCCAUACAAUUUCCUGAAGCAGCUGAACCUGGAGAGGAAAAAGUCAAAGGGAACGUUAGGUCAAUUUGAAAAUAGAAAGAUAACAGAACAGACUGUUGUUGUUAUUUUCUAUUCGAACAUUAAAAUAAAUAAAUAAAAAAUAG